AUUUCAAUGGUUAGAGGUGAGCGUGACGUUAACCGGAACUAGCGGGGAAUUCAGGCUCCAUGUGAGUCAGCAGCGUGAUAUAAAAAAAGCAAGGAGGUGAUGGUACCAUUGCUCUCUGUCCUGGUCAUUCCAACCAACAACGUCUACUUAGUGCAUGGCCUAAGGUUAGCCUCUGCAGAUAAGAAUGGUCCCAGAAUUGUGUGAGCAUUUGAGCGUGAGCCACAGGGGAAGGAGUCCAAGAAAAAGAGUUAGAAGAGAGAUUAUUGUUGAGGACAGGAGUCCAGAGGCUAUUAAAUGCUGCUGUGUUCCUGUCAAUUUGUU